AACGUAGGAGACAAACGUUAUCCGGAGUUACUGGGCGUAAAGGGCGUGCAGGCGGUCGACUAAGUCUGGCGUGAAAGCUCGCGGCUAAACCGCGAGAGGUCGUUGGAUACUGGUUGACUAGAGGACGGUAGAGGCGUGUGGAAUUCCGGGUGUAGUGGUGAAAUGCGUAGAGAUCCGGAGGAACACCAGUGGCGAAGGCGACACGCUGGGCCGUACCUGACGCUAAAACGCGACAGCAUGGGGAGCGAACGGG
rnacentral:rRNA from 1 species